rnacentral:misc_RNA from 1 species
UUAAGUUCAGCGGGUAUCCCUACCUGAUCCGAGGUCAACCUUUGAAAAUGGGUGUUUUGACGGCCGGACGCCCCCCGGUCUCGCAAGCGGACGGAUGACCACAACGCUUAGAGACGGACGGCUCAGCCGGAAACAUUGAGGCGCGCGGACGGGCCGCGGCGCCCAAUACCAAGCCAGGCUUGAGUGGUGAAAUGACGCUC